UCCGGUUUGUCACCGGCAGUCUCAUUAGAGUGCCCAACUAAAUGAUGGCAACUAAUGACAAGGGUUGCGCUCGUUGCGGGACUUAACCCAACAUCUCACGACACGAGCUGACGACAGCCAUGCAGCACCUGUGUUCAGGUUCCUUGCGGCACUCCCAAAUCUCUUCGAGAUUCCUGACAUGUCAAGGGUAGGUAAGGUUUUUCGCGUUGCAUCGAAUUAAUCCACAUCAUCCACCGCUUGUGCGGGUCCCCGUCAAUUCCUUUGAGUUUUAAUCUUGCGACCGUACUCCCCAGGCGGUCAACUUCACGCGUUAGCUACGUUACUAAUAGGUUUAACCCUACCAACAACUAGUUGACAUCGUUUAGGGCGUGGACUAC
rnacentral:misc_RNA from 1 species